rnacentral:rRNA from 1 species
UACAGAGGGUGCGAGCGUUAAUCGGAAUUACUGGGCGUAAAGCGCGCGUAGGCGGAUUUGCAAGUCGGGGGUGAAAGCCCGAGGCUCAACCUCGGAACUGCCCUCGAUACUGCAAAUCUCGAGUCCGAGAGAGGUGAGUGGAAUUCCUAGUGUAGAGGUGAAAUUCGUAGAUAUUAGGAAGAACACCAGUGGCGAAGGCGGCUCACUGGCUCGGUACUGACGCUGAGGCGCGAAAGCGUGGGGAGCAAACAGG